GUUGAUAAGCUUGAACAAAGAAGAUGAACCAAAACAGUUUUUUUGUUUUAAAUGAAUUAGUGGACUGCUGCCCUAAACAGAAAAUUUCGGAUUUGUUAGGGUGCUCUAAAAAUUCUGGACUUGUGAUAUGUUAUAGUACACUCAAUAAGCUUUCCAUAGACUCCGAAACGGACUAAAUCCGACAUCGGAGGAGUAAGUUAUGGGAUUUCUACCAAACUACACAAAGUUAAGAAAAACUGUUAGAAGGACAGUUUGUAACAGCUACUUCCGGGCUAAAUUCCGGGAGCUUAACAUGUCCAAAUAUGGAUUGUGAUAUAUGAAAACUAUAGUUUGGAAAGAUACAAAUCCAACAAAAUUGACGGAUCAUUAAUCAGAGUUACAGAUUUCGUUUUAUUUAAGUUUUGGUGAAGGACUCCAAAACUGCCAAAGUGCAAAAAGUUUCUGGCCAAAAUUUUCCGAGGGCUGUUUUGGACAUUUAGUUAAUGAGAAAAAUUCCAGGCUUUUGGGAAAUGAAAAUAUAUGGUAUUAAGUAGCUCGUGUCCAAAAAUGAGCUGAUUCCGAGUUAAAACGACCAAGUUAUGACCAUUACAAUUUUUGUGAUUUUCCGACGGAAAUUGCUAUAAACGGAGUUCUACAACUCCGAUUGCCACGAAAUUUAAAAUGGAGUAUCACGUUAACAUAUAUAAGGUUAUACCAAGAGAUGGGCAUUACUGGAGUUAAGCACGAGGUAACUAAUUUCUUAAGCUA
rnacentral:lncRNA from 1 species